rnacentral:rRNA from 1 species
UGGCGGACGGGUGAGUAAUGUCUGGGAAACUGCCCGAUGGAGGGGGAUAACUACUGGAAACGGUAGCUAAUACCGCAUAACGUCGCAAGACCAAGAGGGGGACCUUCGGGCCUCUUGCCAUCGGAUGUGCCCAGAUGGGAUUAGCUAGUAGGUGGGGUAACGGCUCACCUAGGCGACGAUCCCUAGCUGGUCUGAGAGGAUGACCAGCCACACUGGAACUGAGACACGGUCCAG